UUGAGAUUAAUAAUAUAUUAUUAUACAUAUAUAUACGCAUAUAGUAAAAAACAUAUUACAUAUACAUAAUAUAUAAGGAUGUAAAAUAUUAUUAUUAUAAAUCAACUUUCUAUAAGAAAAUAUAAGGUUAAUCCUAUAUAAAAUACAAAUAUAUAAAGAAAAAUAAUCAUACGAUAAUAAGAACAAGUACAGUAUAAAAAAACAAUAAAUUUCCUAAAUAAAAAACUAAGCAACAAGAGGGAUUAAAUCACAAACCAAACCAAAUUAACAGGGAGCAGCUGGAAUUAAAGAAAAGUGAGGGACCAUGCUGCAACACGCGUAUUACAUGGGGGCCCGAUUGGGAAAUAUCCCGCUUCCCCAAAACGCAGUGUUGCAAGCCGGGCCGAAAUGGAACGAAAAUAGAAUAUGAGGGCUAAAUCAGAAAAGAAGAAGAGGCUUAAUUCAAAAAAAAGGAAAACGGAAGGGCUAGUCGUGCAAAUAUCCCUCUCUAUGCCAGAACGCGCGGGUCUAGUCGCGUCUGGGUCGGGUCAUCGGGUCGCGCCCUAAAACGAUGUCGUUUAAGAGCCACUGAAUUAGGCAAUACGGCGACGUUUCUUGAUUUCCCUUAAGCCCCUCUUUAAACCUCAUCUGUUACCCUAAACAAAAAUAAUAAAAAAAACCUAAAAUCUUAUUCCAUCUAAAACAAACACCAAAAAUAAAUAAGGGCUCAGCGUCGUUUCGUGCUACAUCAAUCGACGGCGGCUUUCCGAAUCCCGAGCACGACUCCGAUUGUGACGAAGCGAACUCGAGACCGGUCGCCAGGGGACCCUUAGCCUCGUCCGACCCCGAUUGUGACGGAGCGAACGGAGACCAGGUAAGCCUCUCGUUCCCUUUCUCCUUUAUAUUUUAAUGCCAAUCAAUGAACAAAAGAGCCAAGAAAAAGAAAAAAAAAAAGCAAAGAGAUUCACCAUCACCUUUCUAACUUUUUGAUUUCUUUGAACGAAUUUUUUUGUUUACAAUCCGCCUAUUUUUUUUUGUCUCUGUCCCCUUUACAAAAGGUUCCCCCUUUCAUUUUAUAGCCGAAAUCAAAAAUAAAAUCCCCCAGAAUCCUUUUUAACAUUUUUCUUUUUCCUAUUUUCUGAUUUGCUGGUGAUUUCUAUUCUUUUUGCCUGCUUUCUCUGCUUUUUUUUUGUUUGUUUGUCCUUCUUACAGGUAUGUGGAGGCCGUACGGUGAUGUGGCACGGCUCGGUGCAGUGCAUGGAGGCGGGGCACGUGGUGGUGGCGCACGUGCGAAGGCACACGAGAGGGCAGAGGCUCGACACGUGGAGAUGAAGGCCCUGGGUGGCUGUGGCGUGGCACGUAUAGAGGCUAAUUGGUGUGCGUGGAGGCUGCUAGGGUUUGCCACAGUGCAUUAUGAUAUUGGGCCUUUUGGGCUGAAUCGAUUUGCUAGGUUUAGGUUUAGAGCUAGGCUAAUUUGGGUAGUUUGGGUUAAAAUGAGUUGGGCCACAUUGGGCCUGUGUAACUGGACAUUUGAUUUUAUUAUUAUUUAAAUCUAGUUUUAAAAUGACCGGGUAAAAAUUGGUUAUUACAUUGUCGAUGUUGAGGGUCCAGAGGAUGAAUUUCUAGUGGAUGCGGAGGCUGUAUGAUUUAAAUGGUAAAAGUAGAUUUCUUUAUUUUUUUAUAUGAUGAUAAUGGAUUUCAAUUUUUUUUAGAA